rnacentral:rRNA from 1 species
UACGUACGAGGCGAGCGUUAUCCGGAAUUACUGGGCGUAAAGCGCGCGCAGGUGGUUCGUUAAGUAGGGCGUGAAAUCUCCCGGCCUAACUGGGAGGGGUCGCCCCUAGACUGGCGGACUUGAGGCUGGCAGAGGUAGGUGGAAUUCCUGGUGUAGUGGUGAAAUGCGUAGAGAUCAGGAGGAACACCGGUGGCGAAGGCGGCCUACUGGGCCAGCACUGACGCUGGAGGCGCGAAAGCUCGGGGAGCGAACGGG